rnacentral:rRNA from 1 species
GCCAGACUCCUACGGGAGGCAGCAGUGGGGAAUAUUGGGCAAUGGGCGCAAGCCUGACCCAGCAACGCCGCGUGAAGGAAGAAGGCUUUCGGGUUGUAAACUUCUUUUCUCAGGGACGAAGCAAGUGACGGUACCUGAGGAAUAAGCCACGGCUAACUACGUGCCAGCAGCCGCGGUAAUACGUAGGUGGCAAGCGUUGUCCGGAUUUACUGGGUGUAAAGGGCGUGUAGCCGGGCUGACAAGUCAGAUGUGAAAUUCCGGGGCUCAACCCCGGACCUGCAUUUGAAACUGUUGGUCUUGAGUAUCGGAGAGGCAGGCGGAAUUCCUGGUGUAGCGGUGAAAUGCGUAGAUAUCAGGAGGAACACCGGUGGCGAAGGCGGCCUGCUGGACUGCAACUGACGUUGAGGCCCGAAAGCGUGGGGAGCAAACAGGAUUAGAUACCCCCGUAAA